GUUAUGGUUUAUGACUUUUUUGUAUGGCAUUCAUAUCUUUACUGAUCAUUCAAACAGUGCUACACGAAUUUCCAUUCAGUGUUAGUGUGAAUUGCUGGAGCACAAUAUGACUCAUGCUCAUCUCCAUGUCAAUGCUAGGAGGAGAAAAACUACAUUCAGAGGUUACGGAAUGGCAAUGGGUGGGUUACCUCCCAGGAGCAGAUGACUGGCAUGGUUAGUGAUCACUAGGCCAUGAAUCUCAUGGAUCCCAUGAUACAGGUAUCUGGUCCAGAUCCGACGGAGACAAGCAAAAUCGUGCUGCUGCUUCUUCUUUCGAUUGAAAAUCCAGGUGAAACCUUUCAGGAACUCAGGACGACACGCAUUGAUUAUAUUUCAUUGUGAUGGUUGCUGCCAACACAGCUACUAUUGGUACACGCAACUUCUAUUUCGCUCGUCACCGGAAACCACCGCCCAGAUCCAUCUCUUCUCAACCAUGCCGACGUGGUGGUCAGGGGUGCUUACAACUUGUGAGGACCUGCGUUCUCGCUGUUGAUCCGUGAUGGCAUGGCCUCCCCGUGCCCUAGCCGCGUUCUAGCUGAUGGUUUGGGUCCACCAGCGGAGGGAGAGGGGGACGACCUCUAUCGCUCCUUCUCUCUAGC